CCUUAAUAUCUAACCAACGCCCACAUCCAUUAUCUGUCCCCUCCCUCAAACAAAUUUCUCAGCCCACAAAACUCCGCCCCCAAUCCUCGCCGGUAAUUUGUGGAUGAAGAGAAGAUGUUUAAGAACAUAAAACGGGGAGAAAAUGAAUGGGUCAAAUCGUGGAUGCACGAUUGAAUAUGAGUAAGAAUCUCCAUUGAAAAACAUGACCAUUUUGAUCAAAAGAUUGGCAUUGAAGGAUGUCAUUGCUAGAAGCUUUCUGGCUUUUUUUGGAAUGCUGUAAGCUUCCAAGUUUCUGGACAUGUAUCUUGAAGAACUGGAGUUGUCUUGAAGAAAUCUUGAAGAACAGAGGUUAUCUUGAAUGCCUUAUUCAAGAAAUCUCUUGGAACAGAUACUCUUCAAUGUAGAGUUGGAUCGAUAUUAUGAAGCUCGCAAAUUCUUCUCAUGCUUGUGACUUGUGAGAAUGUUUCGCUACUUUCAUUAACAUAAGUGAAUCCCGAAUUUAGAGUAUGAA